rnacentral:rRNA from 1 species
CCUACGGGUGGCAGCAGUGGGGAAUAGUGCACAAUGGGGGAAACCCUGAUGCAGCAACGCCGCGUGAGUGAGGAAGUAUUUCGGUAUGUAAAGCUCUAGCAGCAGGGAAGAGAAAAGAAGGGACCGGAAAAAGAAGCCCCGGCUAACUACGUGCCAGCAGCCGCGGGAAGACGGAGGGGGCAAGCGUUAUCCGGAUUGACUGGGUGGAAAGGGAGCGUAGACGGAAAGGCAAGGCAGAAGUGAAAGCCCAAGGCUCAACCAGGGGACUGCUUUUGAAACUGUCAAACUCGAGUACGGGAGCGGUACGCGGACUUCCUCUUGUAGCGGUGCACUGCGUAGAUAUUCGGAGUCACACCAGUUGCGCCGGCGUCUUACUGGACCGCAACUGCCGUUGAGUCUCGAAAGCGUGUGGAGCAAACCGGAUUAGCUACCCCAGUAGUC